rnacentral:rRNA from 1 species
GGUUAAGCGACUAAGCGUACACGGUGGAUGCCCUGGCAGUCAGAGGCGAUGAAGGGCGUGCUAAUCUGCGAUAAGCGCCGGUAAGGUGAUAUGAACCGUUAUAACCGGCGAUACCCGAAUGGGGAAACCCAGUGUGAUUCGUCACACUAUCAUUAACUGAAUCCAUAGGUUAAUGAGGCGAACCGGGGGAACUGAAACAUCUAAGUACCCCGAGGAAAAGAAAUCAACCGAGAUUCCCCCAGUAGCGGCGAGCGAACGGGGAGGAGCCCAGAGCCUGAAUCAGCAUGUGUGUUAGUGGAAGCGUCUGGAAAGGCGCGCGAUACAGGGUGACAGCCCCGUACACAAAAGCGCAUGUGCUGUGAGCUCGAUGAGUAGGGCGGGACACGUGGUAUCCUGUCUGAAUAUGGGGGGACCAUCCUCCAAGGCUAAAUACUCCUGACUGACCGAUAGUGAACCAGUACCGUGAGGGAAAGGCGAAAAGAACCCCGGCGAGGGGAGUGAAAAAGAACCUGAAACCGUGUACGUACAAGCAGUGGGAGCCCCACCACUAAGCCAGUGGUGAACUCCACAUACGCAUCCUUUGCUGAGGAUACGGUUAACGGAGCGAAAGCGACGUUCAACCGCAAAACAAGCAGAGGGGGCUUAGUGGUGGGGUGACUGCGUACCUUUUGUAUAAUGGGUCAGCGACUUAUAUUCUGUAGCAAGGUUAACCGAAUAGGGGAGCCGGAGGGAAACCGAGUCUUAACCGGGCGUUAAGUUGCAGGGUAUAGACCCGAAACCCGGUGAUCUAGCCAUGGGCAGGUUGAAGGUUGGGUAACACUAACUGGAGGACCGAACCGACUAAUGUUGAAAAAUUAGCGGAUGACCUGUGGCUGGGGGUGAAAGGCCAAUCAAACCGGGAGAUAGCUGGUUCUCCCCGAAAGCUAUUUAGGUAGCGCCUCGUGAAUUCAUCUCCGGGGGUAGAGCACUGUUUCGGCUAGGGGGCCAUCCCGGCUUACCAACCCGAUGCAAACUGCGAAUACCGGAGAAUGUUAUCACGGGAGACACACGGCGGGUGCUAACGUCCGUCGUGAAGAGGGAAACAACCCAGACCGCCAGCUAAGGUCCCAAAGUCAUGGUUAAGUGGGAAACGAUGUGGGAAGGCCCAGACAGCCAGGAUGUUGGCUUAGAAGCAGCCAUCAUUUAAAGAAAGCGUAAUAGCUCACUGGUCGAGUCGGCCUGCGCGGAAGAUGUAACGGGGCUAAACCAUGCACCGAAGCUGCGGCAGCGAACGUAUCACUUAAAGCGAUUCAGCGGGUUACGAUUGACGGAGCGAAGCGACGUCAAAGCGUAUACAAAGUCGAGUCGGUUUAAGGAUACGUUCGUUGGGUAGGGGAGCGUUCUGUAAGCCUGCGAAGGUGGCCUGUGAGGGUUGCUGGAGGUAUCAGAAGUGCGAAUGCUGACAUAAGUAACGAUAAAGCGGGUGAAAAGCCCGCUCGCCGGAAGACCAAGGGUUCCUGUCCAACGUUAAUCGGGGCAGGGUGAGUCGACCCCUAAGGCGAGGCCGAAAGGCGUAGUCGAUGGGAAACGGGUUAAUAUUCCCGUACUUGGUGUUACUGCGAAGGGGGGACGGAGAAGGCUAUGUUGGCCGGGCGACGGUUGUCCCGGUUUAAGCGUGUAGGUGUGUGUUCCAGGUAAAUCCGGUUCACUUUAACACUGAGGCGUGACGACGAGGCACUACGGUGCUGAAGCAACAAAUGCCCUGCUUCCAGGAAAAGCCUCUAAGCAUCAGGUAACAUCAAAUCGUACCCCAAACCGACACAGGUGGUCAGGUAGAGAAUACCAAGGCGCUUGAGAGAACUCGGGUGAAGGAACUAGGCAAAAUGGUGCCGUAACUUCGGGAGAAGGCACGCUGACACGUAGGUGAAGUGAUUUACUCAUGGAGCUGAAGUCAGUCGAAGAUACCAGCUGGCUGCAACUGUUUAUUAAAAACACAGCACUGUGCAAACACGAAAGUGGACGUAUACGGUGUGACGCCUGCCCGGUGCCGGAAGGUUAAUUGAUGGGGUCAGCGCAAGCGAAGCUCCUGAUCGAAGCCCCGGUAAACGGCGGCCGUAACUAUAACGGUCCUAAGGUAGCGAAAUUCCUUGUCGGGUAAGUUCCGACCUGCACGAAUGGCGUAAUGAUGGCCAGGCUGUCUCCACCCGAGACUCAGUGAAAUUGAACUCGCUGUGAAGAUGCAGUGUACCCGCGGCAAGACGGAAAGACCCCGUGAACCUUUACUAUAGCUUGACACUGAACAUUGAGCCUUGAUGUGUAGGAUAGGUGGGAGGCUUUGAAGUGUGGACGCCAGUCUGCAUGGAGCCGACCUUGAAAUACCACCCUUUAAUGUUUGAUGUUCUAACGUGGACCCGUAAUCCGGGUUGCGGACAGUGUCUGGUGGGUAGUUUGACUGGGGCGGUCUCCUCCUAAAGAGUAACGGAGGAGCACGAAGGUUGGCUAAUCCUGGUCGGACAUCAGGAGGUUAGUGCAAUGGCAUAAGCCAGCUUGACUGCGAGCGUGACGGCGCGAGCAGGUGCGAAAGCAGGUCAUAGUGAUCCGGUGGUUCUGAAUGGAAGGGCCAUCGCUCAACGGAUAAAAGGUACUCCGGGGAUAACAGGCUGAUACCGCCCAAGAGUUCAUAUCGACGGCGGUGUUUGGCACCUCGAUGUCGGCUCAUCACAUCCUGGGGCUGAAGUAGGUCCCAAGGGUAUGGCUGUUCGCCAUUUAAAGUGGUACGCGAGCUGGGUUUAGAACGUCGUGAGACAGUUCGGUCCCUAUCUGCCGUGGGCGCUGGAGAACUGAGGGGGGCUGCUCCUAGUACGAGAGGACCGGAGUGGACGCAUCACUGGUGUUCGGGUUGUCAUGCCAAUGGCACUGCCCGGUAGCUAAAUGCGGAAGAGAUAAGUGCUGAAAGCAUCUAAGCACGAAACUUGCCCCGAGAUGAGUUCUCCCUGAGACUUAGAGUCUCCUGAAGGAACGUUGAAGACGACGACGUUGAUAGGCCGGGUGUGUAAGCGCAGCGAUGCGUUGAGCUAACCGGUACUAAUGAACCGUGAGGCUUAACCUU